AUGAACGCUGCGCGCGCGUGCUUAAUACAUGCAAGUCGAACGGAGUAGCAAUACUCAGUGGCGACCGGGUGAGUAACACGUGAGCUGAUCUGCCCUUCGACGGGGAAUAACAGUCCGAAAGGAUUGCUAAUACCGCAUACAUUGCUCAGGUUUAGAAGCUGAGUAAGAAACUUACGGGGUCGAAGGAGGAGGCUGCGGCCCAUCAGGUAGUUGGUAGAGGUAAUGGCUCACCAAGCCGACGACGGGUAGGGGACCUGAGAGGUGUGACCCCCCCACACUGGGACAGACAUACGGCCCAGACUCCUACGGGAGGCAGCAGUAAGGGAUAUGGCUUCAUUGGGGCGAAAACCUGACGCAGCCACGGCGCCGUGGAAGGACGACGGCUUUCGGGUUGGUAAACUUCUUUUUUGUCGGGACGAGGAAAAAAAAAUAACCGACAGAAUUAAGCUUUCGGCUAAACUACGUGCCCAGCAGCCGCGGUAAGACGUAGGAAGCGAGCGUUAUCCGGAAUUUACUGGGGCUUAAAGGGGUGUGUAGGGCGGUUGAACAAGUUGUGUGCAUGAAAGCUUGCCCCGCUCAACGGGCAGAAGGCUGUGUCCAAUACUUGUUCGACUAGAGGCUUGUGUAGAGCGGACAGCCGGAAAUUCCGGGUGUAGUGGUGAGAAUGCGCUAGAGAUCCGGAGGAACACCAGAGGCGCAAGGCGGCGUCUCUGGCACAGUACUUGACGCUGGAAGACACGCACAGCAUGGGGAGCGAACGGGAUUAGAAACCCCGGUAGUCCAUGCCGUAAACGUAUGGACGCUAGGCAUGGGGCGGGUAAAGCCGUUCCGUGUCGGAGGGAAACCGGUAAGCAGCCCGCCUGCGAUGUUCGGUCGCAAGGCUAAAACUCAAAGGAAUUGACGGGGGCCCGCACAAGCAGCGGAGCGUGUGGUUUAAUUCGAGGCUACACGAAGAACCUUACCUGGACUUGACAUAUACCUAGUAGGGGGCGGAGACGUUCCCGACCGCAAGGAGGGUAUACAGGUGCUGCAUGGCUGUCGUCAGCUCGUGCCGUGAGGUGUAGGGUUAAGUCCUGAAACGAGCGCAACCCUCGGCGUUA
rnacentral:rRNA from 1 species